UCUGGUGGAGCUAGGCUCCCCACGAGCCAGGAAGAGACUCCCUGCCACUGUGGCUACCUCGGAUUUCCUGGGACCUCAGGAGAGAAAACAACCUCCAAUGGCACUUGGAAGUUUCCUAACUUACAUUCAUUAGUGACAAGCACAGAUUGCUUAUCAUGCUUAAUAUUAAGCAGCUUCUUCAGCCUAGAGGCAUCCUGUUUCUCAAUUAGAAUAACAGCGAUAUUAAGAAGCCACCAGCCUCACAAACUUGAGUGUCAAAACCCCUACGAAAUCUUCCAUUCAAAUUGCGUGCAAGCUUCUGCAUAGAGAUGCGGCUUUAUUUUUUAAGUGCUCCGAGCAGUUUCAAUUACAGCCGUGCACAGGAAGCCCUGGGCGGCCCCAGCCGCUCCUGCGCCCAGCCCCAACUCCCGACCCCGCAGGAUGGGAGCUCAAUUGGAGGAUGUUUACACAGUAAGUCAAAAGGCACCGAGCUGCCAUGUGGGAAACUCCUCUGCUUUCCAGUCUAAGAAAAUCACCCUUCUGGGCCACUACCGAAGUGCACUCGCAACGGCUCUUGGCACCGCUACUCCUAAAAUCCCCUCGGAAAGGGGAGUUAUUAAGGCGGGGACAGCCGGGACGCGACCCGCUCCGUCCCUUCUCCCCAGUCCGUAGAAGGAGGAACAUCAAUAACAAAGGCAAUGGAGCAGCCCUCCUGGCUCCCUCAAAUCAGCAAGACAAGAUCCUGCACACAAUCAGAAACCAGGACCAUAUGACAGGUCUGGGUGAGGAAUGUGACUAAAUCAUUUACUGCAUAUCUUCUGACAUCCCCAACUGCCGGCUGACAGUACCACUCUGCAAGUUGGUGCCACUGAAGAACUAUAUGGCAGGGACAUUGCAAUGCUGAGGAGAUAGCACCAACUGGCUCUAGCUUAUAAACUCCACAAUAUAGAGCUUUGAUGGUUUUGUCUAGAUGAUGAUAUUUAAAAAAACAAACAAAAAAAGAGAUUACAUUGGGGUUAAAAUAACAACAAGAAGAGAAAACUCAGUUCAAAGAGGCCAUUUAAAGAAAAAUGGUGAUUAGGAGUUGAUGAUUAUAAAAGUUUAAGACCAGACUAGACCACUGGGAUUUCUAACCUAGUGCUUUAUGUAAGCUGUAGUGUUUAUCUGUAUUAAUUCUUGCUUCUGGUUCGUAGUCCUUUUUUUUUCUUAGUGUACCAAUCUUGAGUUAAGAAUCAAGGCUGAUCUAUUACAGCUAUUGUGGAAUGUUCCAAUGAUUGCUUAUAGCCAUUUGUAAAAAACUGUAACUCUGCCUGUCUUUAAAAUACUGAUUGGUCCUGCAUUGACUUCUCAGUGUUGUUUUUAUUACAAAUUUGUCCAUAGAACUACUGAACUUUUAUUGAACUCUUCCUCCCCAGGUGGUAGCUUUAAGGUUGUGAUGGUAAAGACAACUAGAUAGCACUCCUUGAGUCUCUGUGUAAGGCAUAUUUUCCAUCCCUACAACCAUUCCCAUUAAAUCUUUUUAUUCCUUGAAUUGUGAA